CCAAGAGUGCAGGCAGCAGCAACCUGCACCCCUGAACAGCCUGUUAUUUCCCAGGAUCCUACACAGUCCCGGAACCCGCAGCCUGGCAGUUGGUGUUGGCUUUGGGAUCCAGAGACCUGGCUAGGAGCGACUCGCGGGCAGCCCAGCAGCAAGCCCGCAAAAGCUGAGCAGUGUCUGCAUACACCGAAAAUAAUUAGACCUAAUGAAUAUGCAGACGCUCCAGCUAAAUCCUGG